rnacentral:rRNA from 1 species
GAUGAACGCUGGCGGCGUGCCUAAUACAUGCAAGUCGAGCGAACGGACGAGAAGCUUGCUUCUCUGAUGUUAGCGGCGGACGGGUGAGUAACACGUGGAUAACCUACCUAUAGGACUGGGAUAACUUCGGGAAACCGGAGCUAAUACCGGAUAAUAUUUUGAACCGCAUGGUUCAAAAGUGAAAGACGGUCUUGCUGUCACUUAUAGAUGGAUCCGCGCUGCAUUAGCUAGUUGGUAAGGUAACGGCUUACCAAGGCAACGAUGCAUAGCCGACCUGAGAGGGUGAUCGGCCACACUGGAACUGAGACACGGUCCAGACUCCUACGGGAGGCAGCAGUAGGGAAUCUUCCGCAAUGGGCGAAAGCCUGACGGAGCAACGCCGCGUGAGUGAUGAAGGUCUUCGGAUCGUAAAACUCUGUUAUUAGGGAAGAACAUAUGUGUAAGUAACUGUGCACAUCUUGACGGUACCUAAUCAGAAAGCCACGGCUAACUACGUGCCAGCAGCCGCGGUAAUACGUAGGUGGCAAGCGUUAUCCGGAAUUAUUGGGCGUAAAGCGCGCGUAGGCGGUUUUUUAAGUCUGAUGUGAAAGCCCACGGCUCAACCGUGGAGGGUCAUUGGAAACUGGAAAACUUGAGUGCAGAAGAGGAAAGUGGAAUUCCAUGUGUAGCGGUGAAAUGCGCAGAGAUAUGGAGGAACACCAGUGGCGAAGGCGACUUUCUGGUCUGUAACUGACGCUGAUGUGCGAAAGCGUGGGGAUCAAACAGGAUUAGAUACCCUGGUAGUCCACGCCGUAAACGAUGAGUGCUAAGUGUUAGGGGGUUUCCGCCCCUUAGUGCUGCAGCUAACGCAUUAAGCACUCCGCCUGGGGAGUACGACCGCAAGGUUGAAACUCAAAGGAAUUGACGGGGACCCGCACAAGCGGUGGAGCAUGUGGUUUAAUUCGAAGCAACGCGAAGAACCUUACCAAAUCUUGACAUCCUUUGACAACUCUAGAGAUAGAGCUUUCCCCUUCGGGGGACAAAGUGACAGGUGGUGCAUGGUUGUCGUCAGCUCGUGUCGUGAGAUGUUGGGUUAAGUCCCGCAACGAGCGCAACCCUUAAGCUUAGUUGCCAUCAUUAAGUUGGGCACUCUAAGUUGACUGCCGGUGACAAACCGGAGGAAGGUGGGGAUGACGUCAAAUCAUCAUGCCCCUUAUGAUUUGGGCUACACACGUGCUACAAUGGACAAUACAAAGGGCAGCGAAACCGCGAGGUCAAGCAAAUCCCAUAAAGUUGUUCUCAGUUCGGAUUGUAGUCUGCAACUCGACUACAUGAAGCUGGAAUCGCUAGUAAUCGUAGAUCAGCAUGCUACGGUGAAUACGUUCCCGGGUCU